rnacentral:rRNA from 1 species
GAUGAACGCUGGCGGCGUGCCUAAUACAUGCAAGUCGAGCGAAUGGAUUAAGAGCUUGCUCCUUCGACGUUAGCGGCGGACGGGUGAGUAACACGUGGGCAACCUACCUUAUAGUUUGGGAUAACUCCGGGAAACCGGGGCUAAUACCGAAUAAUCUGUUUCACCUCAUGGUGAAACACUGAAAGACGGUUUCGGCUGUCGCAAUAGGAUGGGCCCGCGGCGCAUUAGCUAGUUGGUGAGGUAACGGCUCACCAAGGCGACGAUGCGUAGCCGACCUGAGAGGGUGAUCGGCCACACUGGGACUGAGACACGGCCCAGACUCCUACGGGAGGCAGCAGUAGGGAAUCUUCCACAAUGGGCGAAAGCCUGAUGGAGCAACGCCGCGUGAGUGAAGAAGGAUUUCGGUUCGUAAAACUCUGUUGUAAGGGAAGAACAAGUACAGUAGUAACUGGCUGUACCUUGACGGUACCUUAUUAGAAAGCCACGGCUAACUACGUGCCAGCCGCCGCGGUAA